GACGAACGCUGGCGGCGGGCUUAACACAUGCAAGUCGAACGGAAAGGCCCUGCUUUUGUGUGGUUCUCGAGGGGCGAGCGUGUGAGUAACACGUGAGUAUCCUGCCCUGGGCUUGGUGAUAACUUCAGGAAACUGCGGCUAAUACCUGCUAGGAGCUCCUGCUGGAGGGUGGUGUUCGGACAGUUUCGGCGGUUGUGGAUGGACUCGCGGCUUAUCAGCUUGUUGGUGGGGUAGUGGCUUAGCCAGGCUUUGGAGGGUAGCCGGCCUGAGAGGGCGACCGGCGACAUUGGGACUGAGGUACGGCCCAGAGUCCUACGGGAGGCAGCAGUCGGGAAUAUGGCACAAUGGGCGGAAGUGUGUUGAAGAAGCGCUGCGUGCGGGAUGAAGGCCUUGGGGUUGUAAACCGCUUUAGGCUGAGACGAAGCGGGAGUGACGGUAAUGGGUGAAGAAGCACCGGCUAACUACGUG
rnacentral:rRNA from 1 species